GAACUGGUGAGGAGUCCCACAAUAGGACGAAACGGUCGUCCAGUGC
rfam:Schistosoma margrebowiei strain Zambia genome assembly, scaffold: SMRZ_scaffold0000293